rnacentral:rRNA from 1 species
AUGGAUCAUUGGAGGCCGGAGACACACACUUUCCAUCUUCGGACCGGGGAGAUUACCGUGACGCUCCAGGAUAUGGCUAUGAUCACCGGUCUUCCUAUCGAUGGGAACCCUUUGUGUAUGAACACCGAUUCUGAUGGGUGGCGCGCGCAGAUGCAUGCCCUUAUCGGUAUGGUUCCUCCGGAGCCUCGUGAACUAGAAGCAAAAGAUAAGAAGAAGGAAAGAGUCACAGCCGGUGCUCCUUUCACUUGGAUUCAAUCGAACUUUGGUACUUGCACUGAGGAUGCUAAUGAGGACACGGUGAAGACAUAUGCUCGUGUGUACAUGUGGUACGUGAUAUCCAAGACUAUGUUUACCGAUGGCACAGGCAAGAAUGCUCCAUGGAUGUGGCUGAAGGCGUUGACCGUCUUCGAUAGCAAAUGGAGUUGGGGUUCGGCGACACUGGCUUACUUGUAUCGACAGCUGGACGAAGCCUGUUGUAGGCCAUCUGGAGGUAUUGGUGGUUGUAUGCUCGCACUUUCCAUAUGGAGCUGGGAGCGUUUGCCGGUUGGACGACCGAAGAUCGUUAAGUACGAGGAUUGGGACGACAAACACGACCCACUACGGCGCCCCACUUGGGCUUACAAGUGGGAUGUGUUAAAUGAGACGAUGGAUGACCCGUCGGUCAUGUACAAGUUGUACAAGAGCGAGCUGGACGCGAUCACGCCUGAGCAGGUGAAUGGACAUUGCAUAAGUGAUUAUCAUGCUUCUAUCGUAACUCGAUAUCAAUUUUGUGUUUUAUCCCAUUUUGUAGUUCAGUCUGAAUCUGAUGUGCACUAG